rnacentral:rRNA from 1 species
GACGAACGCUGGCGGCGUGCUUAACACAUGCAAGUCGAACGGAAAGGCCCUGCUUUUGUGGGGUGCUCGAGUGGCGAACGGGUGAGUAACACGUGAGUAACCUGCCCUUGACUUUGGGUUAACUUCAGGAAACUGGGGCUAAUACCGGAUAGGAGCUCCUGCUGCAUGGUGGGGGUUGGAAAGUUUCGGCGGUUGGGGAUGGACUCGCGGCUUAUCAGCUUGUUGGUGGGGUAGUGGCUUACCAAGGCUUUGACGGGUAGCCGGCCUGAGAGGGUGACCGGCCACACUGGGACUGAGAUACGGCCCAGACUCCUACGGGAGGCAGCAGUGGGGAAUAUUGCACAAUGGGCGGAAGCCUGAUGCAGCAACGCCGCGUGCGGGAUGACGGCCUUCGGGUUGUAAACCGCUUUCGCCUGUGACGAAGCGUGAGUGACGGUAAUGGGUAAAGAAGCACCGGCUAACUACGUG